rnacentral:lncRNA from 1 species
AUGGGAGACGUUCUUGCAAUCAUCUUUGGAAAAUACGCAGGUCAUGGAGAUAAAAAGGACAGGAAAAGAAGACCGAAACGGAGCAGCCAGCACAAUAGGAGAAGCACAGUUUCGAGUUUCCAGACCAUUGACCACAAAGUGGAGAUCCUGCCCGGAGCAUGGCGCGUUGCAGUGGAACAUUUGAACUCUCCUCAUUUUCCCUGGAGCCAGAUCAACACCUGGUUGCUCCCAACCCCACCUCCCCAUGUCGAGCAGCAGACGCUGAUGUCUGGACAGGCAUGUUUCCAAGGGUCUAGCUGGUUCCCUGUGGGUCCCCAAUGUUUGGUGCAAUGCCAGGUUCUACAGCCUAACACUUGA